GAUGAACGCUGGCGGCGUGCCUAAUACAUGCAAGUCGAGCGCACAGACGAUGCUCUUGCUCCUUUCACGUUAGCCGCUGACGUGUGAGUAACACGUGGAUACCCUACCUAUAUGACUGGUAUCACUUCGGAACACCGGCACUAAUACCGUAUAAUCUAUUAAACCUCAUUGUUCAAUGGUAAAAGACGGUUUUGCUGUCUCUUAUAGCUGGCUCCGCGCCGUAUGAGCUAGUAGGUAAGGUAACAGCUUACCAAGGCAACGAUGCGUAGCCGACAUGCGAGGGUGAUCGGCAACAUGGGAACGGGGACACGGUCAAGACUCCUACGGGAGGCAGAAGUAGGGAAUCUUCGGCAAUGGGGGAAAGCCUGACGGAGCACGGCCGCGUGAGUGAUGAAGGUCUUCGGAUCGUAAAACUCUGUUAUUAGGGAAGAACAAAUGUGUAAGUAACUAUGCACGUCUUGACGGUACCUAAUCAGAAAGCCACGGCUAACUACGUG
rnacentral:rRNA from 1 species